ACAGCUUUGGACAAAAGUCUGUAGCCAGUGCAUUUGAAACUCCCCUUGCACCAGGGCUGACUGUAGCUGGGGGAAGACAUUUUACUCAUUUGCUCUUUCCUUUAACACGGUCAGCUGGUCCCUCUUCUCAGGUGUAGAUCACCUCUUACAAUUUUACCUAAUUCUGAUAAAGAAAGGCCCAGGACUUACCAGCUGGGAUAGGCCUCACAAGACAGCUCU
rnacentral:lncRNA from 1 species